CGUGGGUAACCUGCCCAAGAGAUCGGGAUAACACCUGGAAACAGAUUCUAAUACCGGAUAACAACAGAUGAUGCCUAUCAACUGUUUAAAAGAUGGUUCUGCUAUCACUCUUGGAUGGACCUGCGGUGCAUUAGCUAGUUGGUAGGGUAACGGCCUACCAAGGCGAUGAUGCAUAGCCGAGUUGAGAGACUGAUCGGCCACAUUGGGACUGAGACACGGCCCAAACUCCUACGGGAGGCAGCAGCU
rnacentral:rRNA from 1 species